rnacentral:lncRNA from 1 species
GUUGGGGACUCAUUAUUGUUUAAUAAAAUCACGAAUUUAAAAGAAAUUGAAAUGGAAGAUUUUGCCAACAUGUAAAUUAUUUGAUGUAAUAUUUUCCUUAUCCAGUUUUUCAGCUCUGGUCAUAAGUGCCGCCUGUAGCUUUGAAAUGUUAAUUACACCUUUUAACAAUUCAUGCAACAAAAUUUCACACUUUUACCAAUUUAUGCAACUCUUACAAAUUAUGCAGGCAGGUUUAAAUUGUUUAAAAAGGCUUUCAUAAGAUAAUUGCGUAUAUAGGUGUGACAUCAUAAAAAUAAUCGCAUCGAUCCUGUCAAUAAAAAAAACAUCAACGACGAUGAACUUAAUCAUCCAUAUAGCAUAACAACAUCCCAUAAUAUGCCAUAUGAAAUAUAACAAGAAAGUAUUUUAGAAAAUAGAUAUUAAAAAAAAAACUGUCGAUUACUUUAACCUAAGAAAUUUUCGUCAAAUUUUGGUAUCAUCCUGCAAACAUUAAUAGCCAAUGAACUUUAUAAAAUUUGACAACAUAACAUCUUGCACAACUUUUGAGCUCAACAAGCUUCGAUUAUAUAGACUUUGUCAAGCCUUCGAAUGUGCUUUAGUUCUUAAAAAUAUAUUAACCUAAGAAGAAAAAUAUUUGAAGUCAUUCAUCAAUCAAAACAUUAACAAAAUGCUAAAAGGAUAAAGGAGCCCUCAGAUCUCAUAGCUAUUGAUCAUGUAAGGAUUUACAAUUGGUAUUAACUAUUCAUCCAGAGUCAUUAACUUUACCACGAUAAAAACAUUUUUGUGUGAUUUGUGUGCUUGUGAAGAAAAAAAUUUAAAAUUCGUGGCAAAGAACAACAAUGGACGAAAAGAUAUACAAAAAUACCUAUUCAAGUAUAUGAUUUUCCAUCAUUGGGCAUUCUUUACAUUAUUCUACAAAAGCAAAACAACAAACAGAUUUUCUCAGGAUUUUAUUUCAAGAGUAGAAAAAGGUAAAAGGAAAGAAAGGAGAAUGAAACAUGAUUAAUUAACUAUAGUGAUGGUAAAAAUAUACAUCCCCUAUGAUUUCCAUAGUUUUUUUGAAUAAAAACCUACGGGAUUUAUCACAGAACGAAAAAGUUGAUAUUGGGGAAGCAUUCAUCCCAACAGGCAAUUGAAGAAAACUCCAAGCCAAUGAGUCAAAUUUGCUACCCUUUUUUUACUAAAAACGUUUUGUCGAUCAUAUGAACCAGAAAUGAAUAUGACAUUAAAUUAGUCUGUUGUUGUAAAACAAUGGAAUUGAAAAUCCAAAGCCUAUAUUGCAUUGGAAACAGAUACGUCAAAGCUUUGAUAUCAUCAGCACAAAUACCCAGUAAUCGUUAUUGGAAAAAACAGGGUUUGUUGAUUAUAAGAAGAAACAUAAAGAUAUAACGGCGAGCAUUCAGAAUGAGUAGGAGGUUUGAUAUUCCAUUCAUGAAUUAGUCGGAACACAUAAAACAAUCAUCACUAUGCUCGCAAAACUUCCAACCCAAAGUAACUUCUACGUACGAAUAAGAUAAAAUUGAAGUAAAAGUGAUUGUAAACCAUCAGAACUAUUGGAUCACUACAUCAAUUAAUCAAACCCUACGAAAAGGCGUGAUUCUCAGACGACCGUCGUGAGAUUAAAUCCAAAAUCUUCAUUUGGAUUGACAAUUCGUAAACUUAGAACGUAAAAUGAGAUUAACCAUAACAUACCUGACAGCCGUAAACCCUAGAAUCGGCGUUUGGAAGAGACGAUCUUCGUUUCAGUAAUGCAGACAGGUUUGGUUUCAGGCGCGGCGUAUAAAUAACGACGAGAUUGUUGAAUGUUGAUGUUAGGUUAAAAACCCUAGGCAGUUAUGAGUUAUGACUCGCAAGGCCCAAC